UUCCCCUAGUAACGGCGAGUGAAGCGGGAAGAGCUCAAAUUUGAAAUCUGGUGGCCUCAGGUCAUCCGAGUUGUAAUCUAUAGAAGUGUUUUCCGUGCUGGCUCAUGUACAAGUCCCUUGGAACAGGGCGUCAUAGAGGGUGAGAAUCCCGUCCUUGACAUGAACUACCAGUGCUCUGUGAUACAUUUUCAACGAGUCGAGUUGUUUGGGAAUGCAGCUCAAAAUGGGUGGUAAAUUCCAUCUAAAGCUAAAUAUUGGCGAGAGACCGAUAGCGAACAAGUACCGUGAGGGAAAGAUGAAAAGCACUUUGGAAAGAGAGUUAAACAGUAUGUGAAAUUGUUGAAAGGGAAACGAUUGAAGUCAGUCGUGCUCUUUGGAUUCAGCCGGUUCUGCCGGUGUACUUCCUUUGAGUGGGGUCAACAUCAGUUUUGAUCGCUGGAUAAAGGCUGGAGGAACGUAGUACCCUCGGGUAAACUUAUAGCCUCCUGUCACAUACAGUGGUUGGGACUGAGGAACGCAGCACGCCUUUAUGGCCGGGAUUCGUCCACGUACGUGCUUAGGAUGUUGACAUAAUGGCUUUAAACGACCCGUCUUA
rnacentral:rRNA from 1 species